rnacentral:rRNA from 1 species
AUUGAACGCUGGCGGCAUGCCUUACACAUGCAAGUCGAACGGUAACAGGUCUUCGGAUGCUGACGAGUGGCGAACGGGUGAGUAAUACAUCGGAACGUGCCCGAUCGUGGGGGAUAACGAGGCGAAAGCUUUGCUAAUACCGCAUACGAUCUACGGAUGAAAGCGGGGGAUCUUCGGACCUCGCGCGGACGGAGCGGCCGAUGGCAGAUUAGGUAGUUGGUGGGAUAAAAGCUUACCAAGCCGACGAUCUGUAGCUGGUCUGAGAGGAUGAUCAGCCACAGUGGGCAUGGGACCCGGCCCAGACCCCAGGGGGGGGCGGCAGUGGGGAAUUGUGGAAAAGGGGGGAAACCCUGACCCAGCCAGGCCGGGUGGAGGAUGAAGCCCUUUGGGUUGAAACCUGUUUUUGUGGGAAAAAAAAAGCCUUUUUUUAAUAAAGGGGGGUUAAGAGGGUACAAUAAGAAAAACCCCCGGAAAACUAGG